rnacentral:sRNA from 1 species
AUUCUUGGUCAUUUUAGAGGAAGUAAAAGUCGUAACAAGGUUUCCGUAGGUGAACCUGCGGAAGGAUCAUUAACGAGUUAGGGUCUCCCAGGCCCGACCUCCCCACCCUGUGUUUACUGGACCGUGUACAAGUCUCCUGACCGCCGGAGGACCGCCGACAGGUGUCCUCUGGCCCGUGUCCGCCGACAGCCAACCUCUCAAAACUCUGUAUGAAUCGUGUCUUUACCUCUAAGUCUAUGAUUUAAACAAAAUCAAAAGCAAAACUUUCAACAACGGAUCUCUUGGUUCUGGCAUCGAUGAAGAACGCAGCGAAAUGCGAUAAGUAAUGCGAAUUGCAGAAUUCCAGUGAGUCAUCGAAUCUUUGAACGCACAUUGCGCCCUUUGGUAUUCCGAAGGGCAUGCCUGUUCGAGCGUCAUUAUCACCCCUCAAGCCCCCUGGCUUGGUGUUGGAUGGCUUGGUGGACUGUAAAUGUCGACCCCUCCUAAAGACAAUGACGGCGCCCCGCGGCACCCCCGGUACACUGAGCUUUUCAUCGAGCACGUAUCGGACAAGGGUCCCCGGGACACGGUCUCUCUUUCCCACGCAUAGCGGGAAAAUUUUAUGAAAGGUUGACCUCGGAUCAGGUAGGAAUACGCGCUGAACUUAAGCAUAUCAAUAAGCGGAGGA